CACUCGCCGGUGCGCUACCGCGAUAACCCAAUGGCAUACGAGCCUCCAGUGAUGUGCCACUGCUCAACUCCGAGGAAGGCUCCAAGAUGGAUCUCCUGGAGCAGGCAGAACCCUGGUAGGAGGUACUAUAGCUGCGUGGAUGCGCUGGUAAGUGUGGUUUUAUGCCUAAUUUUCUUCCUUUUUCUUCUGUGCAAUAGUAUGUGA
rnacentral:rRNA from 1 species